UUUUCCUGCGCCGCUUGUGCCUCGGAUCAACAUGACUGGGGAACGGGUGAGUAGCACGUGGGUAACCUGCCCAUCAGAAGGGGAUAACACUUGGAAACAGGUGCUAAUACCGUAUAACAAUCAAAACCGCAUGGUUUUGAUUUGAAAGGCGCUUUCGGGUGUCGCUGAUGGAUGGACCCGCGGUGCAUUACCUAUUUGGUGAGGUAACGGCUCACCACUGCCACGAUGCAUAACCGACCUGAAAGGGUGAUCGGCCACAUUGGGACUGAGACACGGCCCAAACUCCUACGGCAGGCAGCAGUAGGGAAUCUUCCACCAUGGACAAUGGACA
rnacentral:rRNA from 1 species